AUCAAAUGAGGCCACUGCGAGUU
rnacentral:siRNA from 1 species